rnacentral:rRNA from 1 species
CCUACGGGUGGCAGCAGUGAGGAAUAUUGGUCAAUGGACGAGAGUCUGAACCAGCCAAGUAGCGUGAAGGAUGACUGCCCUAUGGGUUGUAAACUUCUUUUAUAUGGGAAUAAAAUGUUCCACGUGUGGGAUUUUGUAUGUACCAUAUGAAUAAGGAUCGGCUAACUCCGUGCCAGCAGCCGCGGUAAUACGGAGGAUCCGAGCGUUAUCCGGAUUUAUUGGGUUUAAAGGGUGCGUAGGCGGUCCGUUAAGUCAGCGGUAAAAUUGCGGGGCUCAACCCCGUCGAGCCGUUGAAACUGGCAGACUUGAGUUGGCGAGAAGUACGCGGAAUGCGCGGUGUAGCGGUGAAAUGCAUAGAUAUCGCGCAGAACUCCGAUUGCGAAGGCAGCGUACCGGCGCCAGACUGACGCUGAGGCACGAAAGCGUGGGGAUCGAACAGGAUUAGAUACCCGUGUAGUC